rnacentral:rRNA from 1 species
UACGUAGGUGGCAAGCGUUAUCCGGAAUUAUUGGGCGUAAAGCGCGCGCAGGCGGUUUCUUAAGUCUGAUGUGAAAGCCCACGGCUCAACCGUGGAGGGUCGUUGGAAACUGGGAAACUUGAGUGCAGAAGAGAAGAGUGGAAUUCCACGUGUAGCGGUGAAAUGCGUAGAGAUGUGGAGGAACACCAGUGGCGAAGGCGACUCUUUGGUCUGUAACUGACGCUGAGGCGCGAAAGCGUGGGGAGCAAACAGG